rnacentral:rRNA from 1 species
CCUACGGGCGGCUGCAGUGGGGAAUAUUGCGCAAUGGGGGGAACCCUGACGCAGCCAUGCCGCGUGAAUGAAGAAGGCCUUAGGGUUGUAAAGUUCUUUCGGUAUUGAGGAAGGUUGAUGUGUUAAUAGCACAUCAAAUUGACGUUAAAUACAGAAGAAGCACCGGCUAACUCCGUGCCAGCAGCCGCGGUAAUACGGAGGGUGCGAGCGUUAAUCGGAAUAACUGGGCGUAAAGGGCACGCAGGCGGUUAUUUAAGUGAGGUGGGAAAGCCCUGGGCUUAACCUAGGAAUUGCAUUUCAGACUGGGUAACUAGAGUACUUUAGGGAGGGGUAGAAUUCCACGUGUAGCGGUGAAAUGCGUAGAGAUGUGGAGGAAUACCGAAGGCGAAGGCAGCCCCUUGGGAAUGUACUGACGCUCAUGUGCGAAAGCGUGGGUAGCAAACAGGAUUAGAUACCCUAGUAGUC